rnacentral:rRNA from 1 species
GAAUUCGCCCUUAGAGUUUGAUCCUGGCUCAGGACGAACGCUGGCGGCGCGCCUAACACAUGCAAGUCGAACGAGCGAGAGAGAGCUUGCUUUCUCGAGCGAGUGGCGAACGGGUGAGUAACGCGUGAGGAACCUACCUCAAAGAGGGGGACAACAGUUGGAAACGACUGCUAAUACCGCAUAAGCCCACGGCUCGGCAUCGAGCAGAGGGAAAAGGAGCAAUCCGCUUUGAGAUGGCCUCGCGUCCGAUUAGCUAGUUGGUGAGGUAAUGGCCCACCAAGGCAACGAUCGGUAGCCGGACUGAGAGGUUGAACGGCCACAUUGGGACUGAGACACGGCCCAGACUCCUACGGGAGGCAGCAGUGGGGAAUAUUGCACAAUGGGGGAAACCCUGAUGCAGCGACGCCGCGUGGAGGAAGAAGGUCUUCGGAUUGUAAACUCCUGUUGUUGAGGAAGAUAAUGACGGUACUCAACAAGGAAGUGACGGCUAACUACGUGCCAGCAGCCGCGGUAAAACGUAGGUCACAAGCGUUGUCCGGAAUUACUGGGUGUAAAGGGAGCGCAGGCGGGAAGACAAGUUGGAAGUGAAAUCUAUGGGCUCAACCCAUAAACUGCUUUCAAAACUGUUUUUCUUGAGUAGUGCAGAGGUAGGCGGAAUUCCCGGUGUAGCGGUGGAAUGCGUAGAUAUCGGGAGGAACACCAGUGGCGAAGGCGGCCUACUGGGCACCAACUGACGCUGAGGCUCGAAAGUGUGGGUAGCAAACAGGAUUAGAUACCCUGGUAGUCCACACCGUAAACGAUGAUUACUAGGUGUUGGAGGAUUGACCCCUUCAGUGCCGCAGUUAACACAAUAAGUAAUCCACCUGGGGAGUACGACCGCAAGGUUGAAACUCAAAGGAAUUGGCGGGGGCCCGCACAAGCAGUGGAGUAUGUGGUUUAAUUCGACGCAACGCGAAGAACCUUACCAAGUCUUGACAUCCUGCGACGAUGCUGGAAACAGUAUUUUCCUUCGGGACGCAGAGACAGGUGGUGCAUGGUUGUCGUCAGCUCGUGUCGUGAGAUGUUGGGUUAAGUCCCGCAACGAGCGCAACCCUUACUGUCAGUUACUACGCAAGAGGACUCUGGCAGGACUGCCGUUGACAAAACGGAGGAAGGUGGGGAUGACGUCAAAUCAUCAUGCCCUUUAUGACUUGGGCUACACACGUACUACAAUGGCGUUAAACAAAGAGAAGCAAGACCGCGAGGUGGAGCAAAACUCAGAAACAACGUCCCAGUUCGGACUGCAGGCUGCAACUCGCCUGCACGAAGUCGGAAUUGCUAGUAAUCGUGGAUCAGCAUGCCACGGUGAAUACGUUCCCGGGCCUUGCACUCACCGCCCGUCA